rnacentral:lncRNA from 1 species
GAUUUUUUCUUUAUAGUUUGAGACACACUUUAGAGUUGUAAACAAACUACCCAUGAACAGAUAUCUUAGUUCUUAAUAAAAUUUCUUCCCUUGAAUUUUCAUUUGUGAUUCAUGAAUAACACUAAAUCUGAAAUUACACAAUCAAUUUAAGUAAAAUAAGGUCUCACAAACCACAAAUCAUGUUAUAUUUAUUCUAAGAGUUAAAUCUGCUACUAGUCAGUGUCAUAUCCAUGAACUGAAAUCUUUGAGACUGAUCAGACCCUAAUUUCUUAUACAGCAAUCCCUCUUUCACGCUCUUCAGUAUACAGAUUGUCUGGCUAAUUUCUACAGUCGAGUUUUGACUGUGAAAUGGCACUGAAGUUCAGCAGGACACAUUUCCUGUCUAUAUCCAUGGCUGUGGUGCAACUGGAGAGGUCCAUGUGCUGGAGUUUGGAAGGAUCAAAGCAAAUCUAUAGGCAUGGGUGGAGAAAUCAUUCAAUGUACAUGUAUGCUUGAGACUGAGUCAAUAUCUUCCUCACCCAGGAUUCCUGCUGUUGUAGGUUCACACAUUCUCCAUACUCUCCUCUACCCUUCACAGCAAGGUAAUAAUGGGAUUUUCAUUUGAAGGAGAGAACCCCUUACUAAUUAUGUUCUGUCAUCCCAUUACCCCUAUGGUAAUGAAUGAGUGGCUCUAACAGAAUUAGUUCUUAUAAAUCCUGUUCUUCCAGCCUUUCUGUAUGGAUUUCGAGUUUUCAUUAAGAUUAAGAACACAAAAUUUCUCAAAUUAAGAGUCAAACAAUACACAAACCCCAGAAAUUUUCAUACAUUAUGAAAGAAUUUGCAAGAGUCAAAAAAGAAAUUUUCCUUUCCAGUUAUUUAUAAAAUCAUUUAAUAAAACUGUGUUUGUUUUCAAAAUCUACUCCCUCCCAGGCUUUAAGACAUAAUCUCAGGAGAUAUAUAUGUACAUGUAUAUUUAUUUAUUUAUACAUACAAACUUAGAAAUAUUUAUUUUUGAAAAAUAUAAACAGAAAACCAACAAUACAAAGGAAGAUAUUUUAUAGAGUUUAGAAUUAAUAAUACCCACUCCACUGGCUUUCAUUUUCUAAUAUACUAAACCUUUGCCUGUAAGUAUUUACAUUUUUCAGGCAUUAAUAAACUUUAAAAAGUAGUCACUGCUGGAAUGGAAUCCUCCACAUAUAAAAAGUUGUAAUAGCAUUUCCAAAAAAAAUUCCAAGGCCUAAAAUAAUAGUGUUAAAGCAAUAUGAACCAGGCAUGUCAAUCUUGAAACAUCCAUGUAAAUUUUCAGUGCUAUUGUGAUAUUAAAGUACACAGGGAUUUCUUACACACAAUUCAAAUAUAGAAAACAGGUAUGCAGUUUACAUCAAUUAAAGAACUUUUGUUAAAUAAAAAGAGAAAGAGGAAACUAGAAAAUGUACAAGUAGAGCAUUAUUAUUACUAAAGAGACCAAUGCAAAUUAAAAUAACAAUACUCUACCUGCAGUAAGAGGUUAAAGUACUCAGUGAAGUUUAAUGUGAAGACACCUCUACUGUAUGACUCUACAAUUCUCUACCUGAGUAUGCAUGCUGUCCAGAGAAAUUCUUGCUUCAGUUCAUAAUGGGGUACGUAUAAGCAUGCUACUUCAACAUUGUGUGUGUGUGCAUGUACUUGAUGUGUGGAAGCAAUUUAAGUGUCCAUCAGUAAUGUGAUAGGUAAGUAAAUGUGUGGAUAGUCAGAAGUGAUAAACCAGAAGUACCUGGAGGAAGAAGAGAUCUUAAAAUUUAUUCCUGAGUGAAAAAAUAAAAUAAAAAGACAAAACCCAGAAAAGUAAAAGCAAAGACAAUAGUAUGAUAGGCAUUAUGUAAAAGUAAAAAUCCCAGUAUACAUCUAUAGAAGUAUUUCAGUAUUUUUAUGUAUCUUACAAAUUCACUUUUUUAGAAAGAUUUAUUUAUUUAUUCACUUUGGGAGAGAGGGGCAAAAGGAGAGAAACUUCAAGCAGACUCCCUGCUGAGUGUGGAGCCUGACACAGGGCUCCAUCUCACAACCCCGAGAUCGCAACCUAAGCCAAAACCUAGAGUUGGAUGCUUAAGACACUCAGGUGCCCCACAGCAAGUUCAUGUCUCCGGACAAUGUGUGCCGAGUAGGAAGUGGAAAGGGGAAAGAAAGAUGGGGUCGAUGGAGAAAAAAAUAAAUGCAAAAUAAAACAGCCACAGACCUUGAAGAAAUGGGAUAUGAUGAUGUGUUCUGAGCUGAGAGAUUUAACUUGUUUCUUUACAUCUGAAGUUGUACAAGAAAAAGAAAAGGAGGAGGUGGAAAGAAGAUGCAGAUGAAAGAAAAGAAGAGACUGAAGCAAACAUGUUAGUCUCAGUCUUCCUGAAUAGCUAAGGAUAUAAUUUAAGGUAAGUUUUAAACUCAAAGCAAAAGUGAAGUCAGUGUUCUGUGAGCGUGCCCA